UGCUCAGCAACUCCUACACCUACCUCCUUGUGGUACUGGCCGGAAAUUACGAGCAACCUUAGGGUAGAUCGGGUAACCAACCUUGGUGGGAACUUUGGUCACAUGCUAACAUGGAAGG
rnacentral:ribozyme from 1 species